rnacentral:rRNA from 16 species
CGUCAGCUCGUGUCGUGAGAUGUUCGGUUAAGUCCGGCAACGAGCGCAACCCACAUCUUCAGUUGCCAUCAGUUCGGCUGGGCACUCUGGAGAAACUGCCCGUGAUAAGCGGGAGGAAGGUGUGGAUGACGUCAAGUCCUCAUGGCCUUUAUGCCCUGGGCUGCACACGUGCUACAAUGGUACCGACAGAGCGAAGCAAAGCCGCGAGGUCGAGCAAAUCGCACAAACGGUGCCUCAGUUCGGAUUGUAGUCUGCAACUCGACUACAUGAAGUUGGAAUCGCUAGU